CUCCUCCUCGCGCGCUGAGGACCCUGACCCCCCUUCUCCACGCUCCCGUGGGGGAUCUCAUGGGCUGUUUUGUGAGCACGGAAUGAAUUAUCGUCUCUCUUCACUAUUUAGAAGACCUGGGAAAUGAAGUCCACAGCAAAACAAAAGAUGUUUCAACAAAGCGCGAGGUCUUUACAGAAAUAGGUCUCAUUUGUCAUUCUUGCCAUGUCUAUGUGAACGCAGAAGAGGAGUAAAAAUCAUCACCACUCAAAGGGAAGUUGAACAUCACACAUUCAUUUAUGUUGAGUGAUUCUGACUUGUCAGAUGUCCCUUUAAUGCAGAGCACAGUGAUAAUUAAGGGACCUGUGUUGAGGCAGGAUGGCCACUGCAUAACAGAGACAUCUCUUCAACACACCAGUCAGAUCUUAAUUAUUACCUUUACAACUGUGGUUGCAGUGAAACGUGUACCGGAGGACCUAUAGCGAGAUGUCCCGCACAAUGGAGCCUCAGCACAGAUCCCUCAUUAGCAUAUGUCAGCCAUGUGCUUCAGAUGGCUAUUCAUUUCUGUCACUUAGCACUUGGAAGUGCUCAUGCUAAGAGCUGGUGUCACGAAGACGAUUCACCCCAGCACUGAAGCUGAUCCGGGCCGCUUGCUUCUUUUUUUUUUUUCCUAACCGGAAUUACACAAGGCCUCUCUUCUUAUCUAAAUCCGAACCCGAGGACACCCAUCACUCUCAAUGGAUCUAUUGCGACGUCUCUAUACACACAUGCACAAAUAUACACAAAAGAACAGAGAGAGUGAAAGACAGAGAGGGAGAGCGAGCGCGUAAGCAUUCAUACUGUAGACAGUGCUACAUGAUCAAAGGCGACGGGGAGAGAAGGGGAAACGAGAGCUCUAAAAAUGGUUCUGCAGCUGAUUCUGUGAGUCCUGGCAGUCACUCUCUCCAAAUACACGCUAGCACACACACACAUGCGUGCUCGGCGCUUUCAUAUUUAACUAAAGGCAGGGCCCGGCGUGUGUCACACUCCAACAGGGGGACAUGACUUUCGCUCGUUUGAGGAGCGGAGGCUUUGUUUCCUCCUGGUGGUGUGCAUGAGUACCUGGGGGGGGUGAGAGAUUGUUUCUCUUCUCUCUUAACAGGAAACAGCAUCAGGAAUGAAGGGAAAGUGAGACAACGCAAGCAGGGGAACCGGAUUGCCAUCCGGUUUCUCAGAGAAUCCACUCCAGAAUAUGGUGCUAUAACUUCCCUACAUAAAAUCAAUGAUUUGUUUAAUUUAGACAGAGCUCGUAAAUGUGCUAAUUUCAGAGACAGCCUACAAAUCUAGAGGGCCUUGUUAUCCCAUUUGCUGCUCCAUUAGUUGGGAAAUGAUACAGCCCAGCGUUGUUAAGAAACUGAACAUUCGGUCUUGCCAUUCAAAAAAGGAAAUAUGUGACGUUGCUGUAAUUGUUAUUGAAAAAACAAACUGACAUCAUAUUUACAAUUUAUGUCAGAUGAUUAAAAAAAUCACAGCAAGUUCAAUUAUUUCCAUACAGGCCUGACUGAGACUUUUACUGUUUUCCUGAUUUUCGGAGUUGUUUUUUUCUUCAGUUUGUACCAUCUUAAAUUUUUUCAACAAUUUAUGGUAAAAGGUUCAUUAAA